CGGCCCAAUAGACUCAACUGCCAAGAUAGUCCCUGUAUCGUAGGGGAGGCCGUUAUUUGCCUCUAUCUUGGUUGGAGCCGUUCCGCUAUUCGCGGGUAAAGGAUAAGCUCCGUGACAGAUGUGGUUGGAUGAAUGGGCACGUGCUAAACGUGCUGCUUAGCUGUUAAGCUACGGUAGAAUGGAUCAACAUGCAUGGAUAGAUGAGCACGUGUUUAACGUGCUGCCUAUCCGUUAUGUCGAUCAGGGCACGUCACUGGCUGACGUGUCGGGGAAGUCUCCCCUUAUUGGGCUGUGCCCUAAAUGUCGG
rnacentral:lncRNA from 1 species